GAUGAACGCUGGCGGCGUGCCUAAUACAUGCAAGUCGAGCGAACGGACGAGAACCUUGCUUCUCUGAUGUUAGCGGCGGACGGGUGAGUAACACGUGGAUAACCUACCUAUAAGACUGGGAUAACUUCGGGAAACCGGAGCUAAUACCGGAUGAUAUUUUGCACCGCAUGGUUCACAAGUGCAAGACGGUCUUGCUGUCACUUAUAGAUGUAUCCGCGCUGCAUUAGCUAGUUGGUAAGGUAACGGCUUACCAAGGCAACGAUGCAUAGCCGACCUGAGAGGGUGAUCGGCCACACUGGAACUGAGACACGGUCCAGACUCCUACGGGAGGCAGCAGUAGGGAAUCUUCCGCAAUGGGCGAAAGCCUGACGGAGCAACGCCGCGUGAGUGAUGAAGGUCUUCGGAUCGUAAAACUCUGUUAUUAGGGAAGAACAUAUGUGUAAGUAACUGUGCACAUCUUGACGGUACCUAAUCAGAAAGCCACGGCUAACUACGUG
rnacentral:rRNA from 1 species